rnacentral:rRNA from 1 species
UACGUAGGCAGCGAGCGUUGUUCGGAGUUACUGGGCGUAAAGGGUGCGUAGGUGGCGCCGUAAGUCAGGUGUGAAAUUUCGGAGCUUAACUCCGAAACUGCAUUUGAUACUGCGGUGCUUGAGGACUGGAGAGGAGACUGGAAUUUACGGUGUAGCAGUGAAAUGCGUAGAGAUCGUAAGGAAGACCAGUGGCGAAGGCGGGUCUCUGGACAGUUCCUGACACUGAGGCACGAAGGCCAGGGGAGCAAACGGGG